rnacentral:rRNA from 1 species
UGGGGAAUAUUGGACAAUGGGCGCAAGCCUGAUCCAGCAAUGCCGCGUGAGUGAUGAAGGCCUUAGGGUUGUAAAGCUCUUUUACCCGGGAUGAUAAUGACAGUACCGGGAGAAUAAGCUCCGGCUAACUCCGUGCCAGCAGCCGCGGUAAUACGGAGGGAGCUAGCGUUGUUCGGAAUUACUGGGCGUAAAGCGCACGUAGGCGGCUUUGUAAGUUAGGGGUGAAAGCCCGGUGCUCAACACCGGAACUGCCUUUAAGACUGCAUCGCUUGAAUCCAGGAGAGGUGAGUGGAAUUCCGAGUGUAGAGGUGAAAUUCGUAGAUAUUCGGAAGAACACCAGUGGCGAAGGCGGCUCACUGGACUGGUAUUGACGCUGAGGUGCGAA